UACGUAGGGUGCAAGCGUUGUCCGGAAUUAUUGGGCGUAAAGAGCUCGUAGGCGGUUUGUCGCGUCGGCUGUGAAAACCUGGGGCUCAACCCCGGGCCUGCAGCCGAUACGGGCAAACUAGAAUUCGGUAGGGGAGACUGGAAUUCCUGGUGUAGUGGUGGAAUGCGUAGAUAUCGGGAGGAACACCAGUGGCGAAGGCGGUUGCCUGGGGCUUUGCUGACGCUGAUGCGCGAAAGCGUGGGGAGCGAUCCGG
rnacentral:rRNA from 1 species